GUCUCUUUGUUAAUUGUAAAUGGAGAGUCGGGCCUGCUCGGUGAACAUUAUUAGUUUUAACAGCUGCGGUAUUUUAACUGUACUAAGGUAGCAUAAUAAUUUGCCUUAUAAUUUGAGGCUAGAAUGAAUGGUUUGACGAAGGUUAAACUGUCUCUAUUUUAUUUUUUAGAAUUUAAUUUACAGAGUGAAAAAGCUUGUAUUUCUUAAAGGGACGAGAAGACCCUACUGAGCUUUAAUUUCGUUGAUUGUACAUAAAAUUUGUGUAUGGUCAAAUAAAUUUUAAUUGGGGUGAUUAAGGAGUAAUAAAAUAAAGUGGUAACCUCCUUAAAUUCCAUACUGAUAAGUAAAAUAACCAACCUUGUUGCUUAUACUAGAGUUACCAUAGGGAUAACAGCGUAAUCUAUUUUGAGAGCUCGUAUUGAAAAAUAGGAUUGCGACCUCGAUGUUGGAUUAAAGUGUCCUUAAGGUGUAGCAGCUUUAGAAGGUAAAUCUGUUCGAUUUUUAAAACUUUACA
rnacentral:rRNA from 1 species